rnacentral:rRNA from 2 species
UUCGCAAUGCCCGAAAGGGUGACGAAGCGACGCCGCGUGGGUGAGGAAGGCCCUCGGGUUGUAAAGCCCUGUCAGGAGUUAAGAAAUGUAAGUGCGCUAAUAUCGCAUUUAUUUGACGAAGGCUCCAAAGGAAGCCACGGCUAACUCUGUGCCAGCAGCCGCGGUAAUACAGAGGUGGCAAGCGUUGUUCGGAAUUAUUGGGCGUAAAGAGCACGUAGGUGGGUUUGUAAGUCAGAUGUGAAAGCCUCCUGUUCAACGGGAGAAUUGCAUCUGAAACUACUGAUCUUGAGUAUAGGAGGGGAGAAUGGAACUUCUGGUGGAGCGGUGAAAUGCGUAGAUAUCAGAAGGAACGCCGGCGGCGAAAGCGAUUCUCUGGCCUAUUACUGACACUCAGUGUGCGAAAGCUAGGGGAGCAAACGGGAUUAGAUACCCCGGUAGUCCUAGCCGUAAACGAUGGGCACUAAGUAGAGGGGUUUU